rnacentral:lncRNA from 1 species
UUUUUUUUUUCUUAUUAAUACAGUAUUUGUCUUCCCUCUGUCAAACCCUGAGCCAACCACUUUCCCCAGGCUGCCUGGGGAAUAUAGGAAAAGGAACAUACAGGGCAGACAAGGGAGAAAGACCUAUGGGAGGUGGAGACGACUCCUUCACAUGGCAAAGAGGAUGAAAAAGGCCACCAUCAGGCAAAAGAGCCCCAUGGCCUCCGAGAAGGCAAAGCCCAGAAUGGCGUAGGAGAAGAGCUGUUGCUUCAGAGAGGGAUUCCUGGCAUAACCAAUGAUGAGGCUCCCAAACACAGUCCCAAUUCCAGCCCCAGAGCCAGCCACCCCUACAGUGGCAGCCCCAGCCCCUAUGAACUUGGCUGCUGUGUCAAUGUCCGUUGAAAUGGUGCUGGCUCAGAAGCUGCAGCUAGGAAUAAGUGAGGUCAGGGGACGUGGGGCUGCCAAGCUGCUGAGGCUCUCCUCUGUCAGUGUCUCCGGUGGUUUUAGCACCACUGCAGACAGUGAUGGGCUCAGCAGCUGAGAGGUGCUCCUGACCAAGAAGGGGGUGGAGACGAACUUUGCACAGGCGUAGAUUUUCGGGGGUUGAGGGGCUGUAGCAGGAGAGCUGCUCCCAGGGCAGAGACGACAGAGAGGGUAACACAAUAUUUCUAAAUAUUAAAACUAAUGCCAAAAUUCCAUGAUGAAGAUAUUAAAACAAAUUUUUAAAAAGAUUUUGCUUGUUGAUUGAUAAGAGGCACACAGAGAGAGGCAGAGACAGAGGCAGAAGGAGAAGCAGGCUCCCUGUGGGGAGCCCGACUUGGGACCCGAUCCUAGGACCCCGGGAUCACGCCCUGAACUGAAGGCAGACGCUCAACCGCUGAGCCACCCAGGCGUCCCCAGAAAACAUCAAAAUUUAAAUGAAGAUAGGAUCAAUAACAGUGCUGUGCUGUGCCAUUUCAGAGACUGAAGCAUAAGGAAAAUCUGUAACUACGGAGAGUUUUGGCACUCCUGGAACUUUUGCAUGGGAGGCAAGUGCUUCACUAAGGCCCCCCGGUGGCCCUGAUGUUACAGAGAUAAUCUGGAGGCAGUGAGCAUGGAGGAUUUAGGGAAAAAACAGGGUAACCUAAGAUAUGGAGAUUUAGGAGUGGAUUUUAGAUCUUAGAUCUGGGAUCUCUACAUUUUUUUUAAAAGAUCAAAAAAGAAUUUUUUUUUUAAUAAUAAUCUCUACACCCAACAUGGAGCUCGAACUCACAAUCCUGAGAUUAAGAGUUGCAUGCUUUUCCAUUUGAGCCAGCCAGGAGCCCCUGGGAUCUCCACUUUUAAGGGAAAUUUUUCACUCAUUUUACCCAAAGUAAAAGCCAAAGCACAUGUCGGUUGUGCCAGUCACCAGCCCCUCAGUUCUCCAACCCCAUUCCUAAGUAUUCUCUUUGUUUGCUUCCCAUUAACUAGCUGGACUUCUUACAGACCCUUCACCAAGCCAGGAGUGCUUCAUCUCAGACACUUGCUCCUUCAGUCUCCCUUCCUGGAUUCCUCAUCCUUGACAUGUAUGGGUCUCAUGUGUCACCUCCUAGAAGCCUCUCCUGACCAUCCUACUGAAGAUUAGACUGAUUCCUAUCACUCAGUCAUCUAAAAGAAUGAAAUCUUGCCAUUUGCAGCCACAUGGAUGGAACUACAGUGUAUUAUGCUAAACAAAGUCAGAGAAAGACAAAUACCAUAUGAUUUCACUCAUAUGUGGAAUUUAAGAAACAAAACAGAUGAACAUAGCGGAAGGGAAGGUGCUGGAGGGGAAGAUGGUGGGAGGAAGGCAUAACUGGGUGAUGGGCAUUAAGGAGGGGGCUUGAUGUAAUGACCAUUGAUUGUUAUAUGAGACUGAUGAAUCACUGAACUCUACCUCUGAAACUAAUUUUUAAAAAAAAGCUUUAAAAAAAAAGCUUAAAAAA